UGAUGUUUAGAAUUAGUUGCAAUGGCGCACAAAAGCAUCUAUUUUCCUGCCUUUAUUCCACAGUUGCAGCAGCGGCGGCACCUGCUACUGUAUUGGCGGAGUUCCUGGUAAACUCACUUGACUUCUCAACAAAAGAAGCCAUUUCUACAAGCGCCAAGCUAUCUCGUUCGAAACACAGACACUAUGACCCGCAUUUGUUAUUUGAUCUCCUUGAUGAAAUGGGUAUGAACAAAUCACAGAUCAAAACCCUUGUUUCUUCUUCUCCUCAAUUGUUGUUUUGUCGUGUUGAUGAAAACCUCAAACCCAAGAUUAAGGUUUUACAAGGACUUGGCUUAUCUGUAUCUCAACUUGCUACAUUUAUGACAAGAAGCAAUUUUUUGACAAGAGGUUUAGAUACUAUUAUACAGCCUAAUCUUGUUUAUCUAAGAGAUUUAUUGCCUACUCAUCAUCAUGUAGCUAUGAUUCUUAUAAAAGAGCCUAGGUUGCUUUCCUACAAUCUUCCUAAAGUUAUGCCACCCAAUAUAUCAUUGUUGCAAACUUUUGGCUUUUCAACGCCUCAUAUUCUCAAGGCUUUUCACAGGCAUCCUAGGUUUCUGCUCAAUAGUCCUGAGUGGUUUGAGAAAGCAGUACAUCGACUAGUAAAGGAUUUUCAUAUGCCUCUCAGUUCAGGGAUGUUUCUUCAUGGCGUUGAAGUACUUGUGUUCCUUGACGAAUCUAAAUUAGAAAGGAAAUUAGAUAUUUUUCGCAGUUUUGGAUGGUCUGAUUCUGAUAUCUGCCGAAUGGUGCAAAAGCUUCCUUACUGUUUGGCCUCAUCAGAGGCUAAGAUAAGGACUACAUUGAAGUUUUUCAUGAACGAGUUGGGGUAUGAACCUAAUUAUCUGGCUUCUCGUGCACCGCUUUUAAAGUUUAGCUUGGAGAAGAGGAUCCUGCCAAGGAAUGAAAUCUUGAAAUUUCUUAAAGAAAACCAGCUGCUAAAAGGGAGUCUAUGUCUUUACACUGCUGUGUCAUUUUCUGAAUCAGAUUUUCAAAAGAAAUGUGUACUUCCUUUCAGGGAAAAGAUGCCCGAGAUGUAUGAUUUAUACAUGAAAAGUAGAAGCUGAAGAGAAAUCCCUACAGUGGAGACAAUGGCUGCAGAGCAAAGAGGUAAGUGGGUCUACUAUCUUCAUUAUAUUUUGAAAGAGCACCUUCUAUCAACCCUGGUCAAGUGUGAGCAACUGGGCAUGAUGCUCUACAUGCAAGGACAAAUGAAUAUUAUGGUUGAGCUCAAAGGAUCAGAAGAGUGAUUUUGUCACCAGUUUCGAUUUGCUGCAAUGUUCAGAAAAGCCGACAUAGAGUUGCUAUGAGGAGGCCAUUAAUACUGAUUAUUUUUAAAAGCAAGGAUGUAGUUGAGAAAGUAUGUAUUAGCACAGCUGAUUUUUCUCUUGUUAACAUCUGUAAGGGUAAAUUAAGCUGUUAGAGAUAUAUGCAGCUUAUUUUGUUAAGAAUUUUAUGGUACAAUUUUCUCUAUCUCUAACAUGACUAUUAAAAAUGUUGUAUCAAA